AUUGAACGCUGGCGGCAGGCCUAACACAUGCAAGUCGAACGAGUGGCGGACGGGGGAGUCAUGUCUGGGAAACUGCCCGAAGGAGGGGGAUAACGACUGGAAACGGUAGCUAAUACCGCAUACCAUCGGAUGCGCCCAGAUGGGAUUAGCUAGUCGGUGGGGUAACGGCUCACCUAGGCGACGAUCCCUAGCUGGUCUGAGGGGACGACCAGCGACACUGGAACUGAGACACGGCCCAGACUCCUAAGGUAGGCAGCAGUGGGGAAUAUUGCACAAUGGGCGCAAGCCUGAUGCAGCCAUGCCGCGUGUAUGAAGAAGGACUUCGGGUUGUAAAGUACUUUCAGCGAGGAGGCGUUACUCGCAGAAGAAGCACCGGCUAACUCCGUGCCAGCAGCCGCGGUAAUAC
rnacentral:rRNA from 1 species